GACGAACGCUGGCGGCGUGCUUAACACAUGCAAGUCGAACGAAGUGGCGAACGGGUGAGUAACGCGUAAUCAACCUGCCCUUCAGAGGGGGACAACAGUUGGAAACGACUGCUAAUACCGCAUACUGAAGGAGGGGAUUGCGUCUGAUUAGCUAGUUGUGGGGGUAACGGCUCACCAAGGCGAGGAGCAGUAGCCGGUCUGAGAGGAUGAACGGCCACAUUGGGACUGAGACACGGCCCAGACUCCUACGGGAGGCAGCAGUGGGGAAUCUUCCGCAAUGGACGAAAGUCUGACGGAGCAAUGCCGCGUGAGUGAUGAAGGCCUUCGGGUUGUAAAGCUCUGUUAGUCGGGACGCGGUACCGGAAUAGAAAGCCACGCCUAACUACGUGCCAGCAGCCGCGGUAUUU
rnacentral:rRNA from 1 species